rnacentral:snRNA from 1 species
GUGCUCAAUUCAGUAGCAUAUAUACUCAAAUUGGAACAAUACAAAGAAGAUUAGCAUGGCCCCUGUGCAAAAAAACAAAAACAAAACAAAACAAAAAUCUAUGUCUU